rnacentral:ncRNA from 2 species
UACCUUUGCCCUGCUUUUGGUUCCUUAACUGAUGUUUUGGAUUAAAAGGGAAUCCGGUGUAAAUCCGGAACUGUCCCGCAGCUGUAAGCUCCAUAACGGAUUUCCAUCCAGUUUGCCACUGUGCUUUUUUUGAGCACGGGAAGGCUGGAAAUACCGGGAGAUAAGUCAGAAGACCUGCCACCUGCACUGGUUAUUU